GAUGAUAACGAGGGAGACCAAGCAGCGGUGCUGCCAGAGAGAGCAGAUGAAUCCCUUUUCUUGAACAAUUUGGCUUUCUUUUAUUUAAAGUUGCAGGCAAAACUUUUACUGCCAGCAUCAGUCAUACAGUCUAUUAUUGAGGAUUUUCAAGCAGUGCAUGAUAUCAGUCAGUCUCAUUUACUUCAUAAGUUGGACGAAAAGCUGGUAUCAUUGGAUAUCUCUGACCGUGAGAGAGAGAGGUUCUUAAAUCCGAGGAUUUGUUUCGGGCAUGCAACACUGGUACCUUGAAAACUGAUCAAAGACAAAAAACGGUUUUUAAAAAUCAGUUUAGAUACAUUGAGCCAGUCCCACCUUAUCUUGGAAAGAAUGAUAUGGGAUCACAGAGUGGCUUUAGUGAAAACUUCAGUAAAGGCACCCAUUUCUGCAGAUUAUGUACUAGAGCCCGACCGAUAUAUCUAUAAUAUAUUAAUAUAUAUUAUAUAAUAAACAAAAAAAAAA